CGUGCUUAACACAUGCAAGUCGAACGAUGAUCCGGUGCUUGCACCGGGGAUUAGUGGCGAACGGGUGAGUAACACGUGAGUAACCUGCCCUUAACUCUGGGAUAAGCCUGGGAAACUGGGUCUAAUACCGGAUAUGACUCCUCAUCGCAUGGUGGGGGGUGGAAAGCUUUAUUGUGGUUUUGGAUGGACUCGCGGCCUAUCAGCUUGUUGGUGAGGUAAUGGCUCACCAAGGCGACGACGGGUAGCCGGCCUGAGAGGGUGACCGGCCACACUGGGACUGAGACACGGCCCAGACUCCUACGGGAGGCAGCAGUGGGGAAUAUUGCACAAUGGGCGCAAGCCUGAUGCAGCGACGCCGCGUGAGGGAUGACGGCCUUCGGGUUGUAAACCUCUUUCAGUAGGGAAGAAGCGAAAGUGACGGUACCUGCAGAAGAAGCGCCGGCUAACUACGUGCCAGCAGCCGCGGUAAUACGUAGGGCGCAAGCGUUAUCCGGAAUUAUUGGGCGUAAAGAGCUCGUAGGCGGUUUGUCGCGUCUGCCGUGAAAGUCCGGGGCUCAACUCCGGAUCUGCGGUGGGUACGGGCAGACUAGAGUGAUGUAGGGGAGACUGGAAUUCCUGGUGUAGCGGUGAAAUGCGCAGAUAUCAGGAGGAACACCGAUGGCGAAGGCAGGUCUCUGGGCAUUAACUGACGCUGAGGAGCGAAAGCAUGGGGAGCGAACAGGAUUAGAUACCCUGGUAGUCCAUGCCGUAAACGUUGGGCACUAGGUGUG
rnacentral:rRNA from 1 species